CCUGAUUGGCUUACCCUGACACCUCAACAUAUCCCUGACCAAUCAGAGACUUCAUGCAGCGAAGGCGACGAGCACCGGCCAAUCAGAGGCCGACGAGGACGGGACGUAACUUCGCCACCGUUGGAAAAAGAAAUGGCGCCGCACAGGUUUACAAGACCUGAAAUGAGAGAAGGCCUGACUUACAGGCCUGAUCCAAACAGACACCUGGAUGAAGCUCUCAAAUUGGCUCUCUCACACCUCCAGACUGGAUGAGCAUUUGGCCCUUACUGCAGCUCAGCAACACGGCAGACAAGCUAUACAUCCCACUGAGGGCCGAGGACCAUCACAUCACCAUCUUGGAUGAAAAGAUUGGCCCGGUGCGUCUUUACUUCAGAGGUGUUACGUCAAAGAACCGGCUCUUCUGCUAAUGAGAGACGGCCCGCAGACAUCAACUGUAAUCGGUGCUUGUAUUGCUGUGGUGUGAAAAGCUCUAAUUUGAUCUCAGAGAUGCCGCUGAGCUCGGUUGAGAUUGUAGAGUCCAUUCCGGUACACCUCCUUGCCAGCGCGCUUCCUGGGGUGUCCCGAUCCCUGGCCUCGGAACCUCUUCCAGCGGGUCAGAGCUCCUGUGGUAGAGGACUUUUCCCUGUGGGGGCGGCUGUAGCUCAGCGGGUAGAGCAGGUCGACCAGCGAUCGGAAGGUCACCGGUUCAAAUCCCGGCAGGGCAGAGCUGCAUGUCGAAGUGUCCUUGAGCGAGAUACUGAACCCCACAUUGCAGUGAGCGAGGGCCCUGCGAUGAGCUGGCGACUUGUCCAGGGAGCACCCUGCCCUCGCCCUG